rnacentral:rRNA from 1 species
GAUGAACGCUGGCGGCGUGCCUAAUACAUGCAAGUCGAGCGAACAGACGAGGAGCUUGCUCCUCUGACGUUAGCGGCGGACGGGUGAGUAACACGUGGAUAACCUACCUAUAAGACUGGGAUAACUUCGGGAAACCGGAGCUAAUACCGGAUAAUAUAUUGAACCGCAUGGUUCAAUAGUGAAAGGCGGUUUUGCUGUCACUUAUAGAUGUAUCCGCGCCGCAUUAGCUAGUUGGUAAGGUAACGGCUUACCAAGGCGACGAUGCGUAGACGACCUGAGAGGGUGAUCGGCCACACUGGAACUGAGACACGGUCCAGACUCCUACGGGAGGCAGCAGUAGGGAAUCGUACGCAAUGGGCGAAAGCCUGACGGAGCAACGCCGCGUGAGUGAUGAAGGUCUCCGGAUCGUAAAACUCUGUUAUUAGGGAAGAACAAAUGUGUAAGUAACUAUGCACGUCUUGACGGUACCUAAUAAGAAAGCCACGGCUAACUACGUG